rnacentral:lncRNA from 1 species
CUUUCUGUAAAUGCAUAAUGUCUCCAGAAGCUUUCAGCUAAAAUACCAAUGUGUUAUUUUGGAGAGAGAACACAUGAACUCUGAGCAUUCACAAAUUGCCUAAGCAUGAACCAGUUUAUCAAGUCAUUUAAGUUGAGAGAAAGGUCCUCAAGGAAGGAAUUACAAAAUUGUGCUUUUUAUGGGACGUCGUGAGAAGGCUCAGGGAAGUUAUGAGGAGCAAGGCAAGGGUCACAGUCACAUUCACAGAACCUCAUUAGGGUGGAUCCACAGGACAUACUUCCCACUGCUCGCAGAAGUAUUACCACCCUUUGGAAUAAUCAAUCAAUCAAACCAACUCAACAAUCUUUCUUUUAAUGCUAGUGGCACAUAUUGACAUAAAAAUAAAAUUUUGCUUCCUGGUGGAACAUGAAUA